CUAGGGUGCACUUGUGUGUUGUGCACUAACUGGCCCAUAAGGACCUGCUGGCAUGCACGGAGAGUUCCCUAGUGUGCAUCACUGCAGCACGCACAGGCCUGUUAGUGCGCAACACACUGGAAUGUGUCCCACUCCAGUGCAGACUAAUGCACCAUGCAGAUGAGUUCUGAGCCUUAAGGCUCCUUGUACAUCAUUAGUCUGACAGUGCAAGCGCUGGAGCUAACGACGGGGGUACGAGGCCCUAAGGCAGUUUGCAGCAUCCGGCUUGGAGAUUUGUUCCAGAGCCACCCUUGCAAAUAGCUGGAGAUUUCUGCAUGCUCCUCUUCCUACUUCUCAGCCACUAGUCAGAAGAACCGCAACUUGCCCUGCUACACUAGUGUUUGUGUCCAUUCCGAGAUUGCUUCUCCAGGUUGGCACCCUGCAGCCCUGUCCACACUGGGCAGGGCCCUGUAACGCCUGAGGUGUCUGAUCAUACAGGGAGGAGCUGUGCCUCCCUGCCAGGCCUAAGGACAAGAGCCAAUACCUUGUAAAUGGAGCCCUUAUUUCCACCACUUUCCAGGACAUUUCCCAAGCUGGAUGUGAUUACCGUGCAGAACACACCUACGUCUACUUUGAAAUAACCCUGGUUUUGUACCUUCCCCGCCCAACUAGGAGGCGGAGGAGUUUGCAAAGAGUGAAAGCUUAAUCUACAUGGAAACGUUGGCAAAAUCCAACCACCAAGUGACCGAGGUGCUUAUGGCCAUAGCUCCCGAGUUAUUGAAAUAGGAACAACAGAAGGAACCAGCCCCUCAGCCUCAGCCCUGGAAGAAGUCACGCGUGGACCUGCGAGAGCCAAGCAAUCACACUAAGAAGUGUUGCAUGAACUAAAGGAAAUGGCAGACUGACCUAAGUGUUCGAUUGAAGAACUGUACGAGAGGAGAUAUUGCCCAAUGCAAGGAACCUGAAAAGCGCUGCAAGUCUCCUCUCGCUUGUGUUUGCUCAGUGUUAUCAUUAUACAAGAAUACAGUGCAAAAUAGCUUCACAAAUAAAAACAGCAAAAAGGA